rnacentral:lncRNA from 1 species
CAAAGGUGGGGGAGAGAGUCGCAAGGACAAGGACAACCACCGCAAGGAUUGGGGGCAGAAAAAGCCGCCAAGCAACAGGACUUGGCAAGGCAAACCGGAGGGCAAGAAAGAGGCACGGAAACCACCAAGCCCAUGCUUCAUAUGCAAUGGCCUUCAUUGGGUACGCGACUGUCCGGAGAAGAAGUCGCUCAACGCUCUUGCCGCACAGCUGAAGGACAACUCCACAUCGUCCUUAGAGGAACCCCAACCCAGCAUGGGUUCUAUCCAACGCCUUGGCGCACUUAAUCGCCAACAGACCACACCAGUUAAGAAGGGGCUCAUGUACGUAAGCGGCAAGAUAAAUGGCCAGCCCAUUCGUGCUAUGAUAGACACGGGAGCAACUGAUAAUUUCGUGACCAUAGAUGAGGCCAAGCGAUUAGGCCUCAAGACCACCAAGGAAGGAGGCAUAAUGAAAGCGGUAAACUCACCCGCUGAGCCAAUUGCGGGGACUGCAAAAGGGGUGCAGUUGACACUCGGAACGUGGAGUGGAAAGGUCGAUUUCUCCAUUGUACCCAUGGACGACUUCAAGAUGGUCCUUGGCAUGGAAUUCUUUGACCAAGUCCAUGCCUUCCCACUGCCUGCUACAAACUCCCUAAGCAUAUUUGACGGGAGCAAGGCAUGCAUGGUACCCUUGGAGAGAGGCAAACCCGAGGAGAAGACCCUCUCCGCCAUGCAAAUCAAGAAAGAUUUCAGGAAGGACCCAAGCUUCUUGGUCUCCAACCGGGAACGAGACGAAGAAGGAAAUAGGGGAACAUUGCCAAGCCAAGUCCCUCCACAAACGCAAGCUAUCCAUAAUGAGUACAAGGAUGCCACACCGCCAAAACUUCCGAAAAAGCUCCCACCUCGGCGAAAGGUAGCUCGUCCAGUCGAGCUAGAUCAAGGCACGAAGCCACCAACCUUGGCGCCCUACCGCAUGGCGCCACCCGAACAUGAGGAAGCGGUUAUUACGCGAGCCAACCUCGACAAGGUCGCAGGAAAAAUGAAGAAAAGGGCGGAUCGCGUGGUUUCAAAAAAGGAGCAUGGCAGCACCUCCAGCAUUACAAGCACGAGGGCGCGACGAGGACGCCGCGAGCUUAGGUGGGGGAGGAUGUUACGGACCGCCCAAGUUGAUAGCCCAAUCAUCCAUAAUAUUGGGCUAGGAAGCCAAUGUAAGGCCAAGAGUCCUAGCUUGGCCCAAUUCCGGAACAUUCUAGACAACUCCAGCACAUUUGAGCAACUCUAGAUUCCGGAACGUUCUAGGGAACUCUAGCACAUUGGAGAACUCUCUAGA